UUUCAAAAAAAUAACAACAAAAAAAAAACAGUACUACAUAGAUUAGUGACAGGUUUCUGCUACCGUCUUCUUCUUCGCAUUAGGGUUUUCAGAGUUCUGGUUCGUUCUCGUUUCCUCAAAUUUUGACCACUCACUAUCACCGCGUUUUAAAAUCCGACAUUUGGCCGUGCCCAACGAUUCAACCGAAGAUCAAAAUUCUUCUGCGUUUUCGAUUCGGUUACGGUUCGACGUGGACAAUUGCUUAUGGCUUCAUCCUCGAUAAUCACUCCCGAAGAUGUAUUGGAGUCGCUAAUGAACGACGGCACAAUUGAUGCCCUCAGAUUGAAGAUCAUCAACCAGCUCAAAGCCAAUGAGGAAUUGAAGAGUACUACCAUAAAGAUGGCUGAGCAGAGUAAGGUUCUGAACACCCCUGGGGCUGAGAAACAGACCAAAAGAGAGCUCUUUGAUGCGCUUCGGCAAGAGCUCGAAGCUUCUGUACUUGAAAAAGCCUCAAAAUCAAUUUGGGAUUUAAUUUUAGACAAUAAUGGCCUGGGUAAGGAGAUAAGUGAAAUGGUUGAGCGAGUGUUUUGUAGAUUGAGUGGCCAGGAGCCUCCAUUAUUUCCACUUCCGAAUGGACAACCACAACCUGAUAAGGAGACUGACAACAGAAAAGAAAAAGGAAAAGGAAAGCAGAAGGAAAACGAAAACAGGAAUUCAAAUACUCCAUCUAAGAAAAGAAGCUUCAGUGAAAUAAAUUUGGAUGGAGCAGAUGAAACUGCAACCUGGUCCUCUGAUCCUGCAGUAGUAUUGGAAGGUUCUGGCAAAUCGCCUCUAUCAAUUUCAAAGACUUGACUUGCAAGUUUGACAAGCCUUUUGUAACAGAAGUGAUCACAUCUGUUACAAUUGAAAUCUUUCAAGAAUUUAUGAGAUUAAGGUAAAUAUAAAUUAUAGAGCGUGGAAUCAUUGGCAUAUCAAGAAAACAUUCUUUUUUGCUUUGGAGCGCGGGAAGUCUACAACUACAAGCUCCGCAGUUGUUUUGGGAAGAUACUUGCGUGAAAAUUUCACAAUGGUACAGAUGCAAAUACUUUGGAAUACUCCUAGCGGUUCUUUAGCAACGAAGAACCUGUUCAUUCUUGAGUCUUUACAACUUAAUGAAGGUGAGUGCCUCCAGCUUCAACCUUACAAGUUGGAAGAGUUCUUUCAUCUAGCUUGAUCUCAUCAUUAUGGAGUCAGAACGAAAGAUUUACCAAAUAUAAAAUACCUUUGUGGAUGAAUUCAACUCACAAUUCAUAUCUAUCUAUCUAUAUAGUAUCCAUUUGAGAGUUCCACGAAAAAAUGACGGUAUGUUAGGAAACUUAUAUGAACACACUACCGUAAAAUGUGACAAGUUGAUCAUUUUUUUACUCUUUCACCAACUUUUGUAUUUUAAUAUGACAUAGAUGCAUUAAUUUAUGUUGCUUCUCCUUUUUCCUGAUGC